CAACAAUCUCAUCCCAAUCAGGUCAAAUUUCAAGCAUUUACACAAAAUCUCCAAGUCAUGUACACAAACCCUAAUUUCCAAGUUUCAAACUCAAUCAAUUCAAUCCCUUUUCACUUCUCAUACAUAUAAUCAUAUCAAUCAUCAUCUCUAAACUCAUUUACAUUAUUCGAACACAAUAAAGCCCAACACAUUUCAUGGCUGCCAAAAUUUGGGGACAUCAUGGGUUCAUGAAUUUCUUGUUAAUUUCUUGAAAUUUCCACUUAUCUCAAGUCACUUUCAAGUAUUAAAGAAGAAGGAAGGGAGAAAAGCACUAACCUCUUGUGACCCAACUUGAAAAUUUUCCCAAAACUUCAACUUUCCUUCUCCCUAUGGGUACCUAGAGCUUCCUUAUGAUGUGGGCUAAAUUUUUAAUGAAGGGGACCAUGGGUUUUGGUGGAUAAAUGAAGAGAAACUCAAGCUCAAAGCUUGAGCAAAAAUGGUGGAGGGGAGAGAACAUGGAGACGGCAAGGAGAGAGAGAAGAGGAAAUGAAGAAGACUUGUGUUGGUGAAUUUUUGUCUCUUGUGUCUUAUAUAUAUAUAUUCUAUAAUUAUUGUACUUUAUUUUUUUUUAAAUGCCAUAAGUCUAUUUCCUUUCUUUUCUUUUCU
rnacentral:misc_RNA from 1 species